AGAAUCAACGCUGGCGGCGUGCCUAACACAUGCAAGUCGAACGCGAAAGGGGCUUCGGCCCUGAGUAGAGUGGCGAACGGGUGAGUAACACGUGGGUGACCUACCUUCGAGUGGGGGAUAACGUCCCGAAAGGGACGCUAAUACCGCAUAACAUCCUGUCCUUGAACGGAUGGAGAUCAAAGCCGGGGAUCGCAAGACCUGGCGUUUGAAGAGGGGCCCGCGUCCGAUUAGCUAGUUGGUGAGGUAAUGGCUCACCAAGGCGACGAUC
rnacentral:rRNA from 1 species